GGAUCAUUACAAGAAGCCGAAAGGCUACUUCAAACCAUCGCGAACUCGUCCAAGUUGCUUCGGCGGCGCGGCACCCCUUAACGGGGGCGCCGCAGCCCUGCCUCCCCGGAGGUUCGGGGCGCCCGCCGGAGGUACGAAACUCUGUAUUAUAGUGGCAUCUCUGAGUAUAAAACAAAUAAGUUAAAACUUUCAACAACGGAUCUCUUGGUUCUGGCAUCGAUGAAGAACGCAGCGAAAUGCGAUAAGUAAUGUGAAUUGCAGAAUUCAGUGAAUCAUCGAAUCUUUGAACGCACAUUGCGCCCGGUAGUACUCUACCGGGCAUGCCUGUUCGAGCGUCAUUUCAACCCUCAAGCCCUGCUUGGUGUUGGGGCCCUACGGCUGCCGUAGGCCCUGAAAGGAAGUGGCGGGCUCGCUACAACUCCGAGCGUAGUAAUUCAUUAUCUCGCUAGGGAGGUUGCGGCGUGCUCCUGCCGUUAAAGACCCAUCUUUAACCAAGGUUGACCUCGGAUCAGGUAGGAAUACCCGCUGAACUUAAGCAUAUCAAUAAGCGGAGGAAAAGAAACCAACAGGGAUUGCCCUAGUAACGGCGAGUGAAGCGGCAACAGCUCAAAUUUGAAAUCUGGCUUCGGCCCGAGUUGUAAUUUGUAGAGGAUGCUUUUGGUGAGGUGCCUUCUGAGUUCCCUGGAACGGGACGCCAGAGAGGGUGAGAGCCCCGUAUAGUCGGCCACCGAUCCUUUGUAAAGCUCCUUCGACGAGUCGAGUAGUUUGGGAAUGCUGCUCAAAAUGGGAGGUAUAUCUCUUCUAAAGCUAAAUAUAGGCCAGAGACCGAUAGCGCACAAGUAGAGUGAUCGAAAGAUGAAAAGCACUUUGAAAAGAGGGUUAAAUAGCACGUGAAAUUGUUGAAAGGGAAGCGCUUGUGACCAGACUUGUGCCGGGCUGAUCAUCCAGUGUUCUCACUGGUGCACUCGACCCGGCUCAGGCCAGCGUCGGUUUUCGCGGGGGGAUAAAAGCUUCGGGAACGUGGCACCUUCGGGUGUGUUAUAGCCCGUUGCUUAAUACCUCCGUGGAGACCGAGGU
rnacentral:rRNA from 1 species